CCUUGACCUUUGAUUUUGCUUUUAUUUUUAAGCGUCUUCGGUGCAACUCCUGGCAAAUCCAAACAAUAUGAUACUGAACAAUCAAUCCAGUCAAAUUAAGAUGGGAAAACUAAAGCACAUAUCUUUAUAUCUAAAUGCCAUACACUCGAUUAAUGUAGUCCCUAACCCGUAGCUCAGCAAUCAAGUUUUUUCAGGACAUUUAAUCUAAUCAAGUUUGGAAUAUCCUUUUUCAGGACAUUUAAUCUAUGUAACCAACUAUACAGUCCAAAAUCAAAGUAACCUUUACUCCACAACUUAAAGAGAACGUUUACGAGAUCAUACAUCAAUGUGGAUAAAGAUUGAGAACUUUAUAGUAAGUGCCCAACUGUUACUCAUAGUAUUCUGAGCAUAAUAACAUGAUAUGUUUUUAACUUAAUAGUUUCAUAUUCUUAAAAAGCUCGCAAAUACUUAAUUGCACUUGUUACAUGAACGAGGUGAGGCAGAUGGGCCUGCUAUUGAUUCUAGUGUUUUCAGAAAAACAACUCAAUGUUUUCCAACCUGCACUUCAUGCUUUAGAUAUUGCUGUUAGCAAAAGUCUAAAUUGGACAUGUGAAGAUGAUAGCGACAGUUCAGCUUCCUUUUAAUAGCUACAAACAAGAUUAUGGACCUCUAUUAUAGCUACUUCCUCAGGUCCCUACCACACAUCAGCGAAUGCAUAUGUGGUUUAUCAUUGUAGGUUGAUGUGAAUGCCAAAACCCAUCAACCUACAACGAUAUUAGUGAGAAAUUACCACUCACCCAACCAGAGGUUGUUUUUUUUUUCCCUCUAUUUGAGAUAGAACCAACCAAACGUCCUUGCAAAGCACAACAAAGUUAUACGCUUUACAACUCCGCUGUAAAACCUCCAAUACAGCUUGGAAAACUACCAAUGAACAGUUCUUGGUUUUCCUCGACACAUUCAAUCAACUACUCCUCAUCCCAAUACUGAUGGUUCUUCCUUAGGUAACCCUAGGGUAGGAGGUACUGGAGGAGGAGCUAUACGUAACAAUAAAGGUGAAUGGCUACUAGGCUUCAUGAAGGAUAUUCCAAAUAGUACUAAUACUCUACAAAAUUAUUACUAGCUCUUAUGCACUGACUCAACAUUGCAAAGGAUAAUAACAACUUGAUGCCUCUAGAAAUCUCCAAAGACUCAGUUGAGGUCUUUAAUGCAACAACUGGGAUAUGCAGAACUCCCGCAUAACUACAGAGAGCAAAACAAGGUUGCUAACCUCUUAGCAAAGAUUUAACAGGGCCAAGUUAAACACGGGGCAUGUGAACCCGUGCUCUCUCCGUAUUGUAUGUAUACACUAUCUUCUAAAAUUAAUAAAGAGAUUACGUUACUUGAAA